AGCAGCCGCGGUAAUUCCAGCUCCAAUAGCGUAUAUUAAAGUUGUUGCAGUUAAAAAAGCUCGUAGUUGAAUUUCGGGAUCAAUAUUUCGGUCAUGCCGUUGGUAUGCACUGUUAUAAUUGAUUUCUCACCUUCUAAAGAACCGUAAUGCCAUUAAUUUGGUGUUACGGGGAAUUAGGACUGUUACCUUGAAAAAAUUAGUGUUUAAAGCAGGCUCACGCUUGAAUACAUUAGCAUGGAAUAAUGAAAUAGGACAUCCGAUUCUAUUUUGUUGGUUUCUAGGAUCGAUGUAAUGAUUAAUAGGGAUAGUUGGGGGCAUUAGUAUUCAAUUGUCAGAGGUGAAAUUCUUGGAUUUAUUGAAGACUAACUACUGCGAAAGCAUUUGCCAAGGAUGUUUUCAUUAAUCAAGAACGAAAGUUAGGGGAUCGAAGACGAUCAGAUACCGUCGUAGUCUUAACCAUAAACUAUGCCGACUAGGGAUCGGAUGAUGUUAAUUUUUAAUUGACUCAUUCGGCGCCUUA
rnacentral:rRNA from 1 species